AAUAAUUCGUAUUAAUAAUACAUACAUGCACACAGAAAUACAGAUCCUUUUUGGCUUGAAAGAUUUGGAGUUCUUGCACCCACAAUAGCAAGUGGAAAACCAAAGAGCCUUUCUAUUCUUUGCAUCAUUAUUCAGGUAAUAUUGCGUUCUUGAUUUAUAUUUGUUCUUUGAUUCUGUGAUGUGGGUUUGUGUUUGUUUGUAAUUUUAGACGUACCCUUAUGAGUAAAAAUUUGAACUUUGAUUGAAAUUAUGGAUUCUUGAAAAGAUUUAAGAUUAAUUCUUUGAUGGGGUUGUUGCAUUUAUUAGGAUAUAUGUAUUUG
rnacentral:lncRNA from 1 species